rnacentral:sRNA from 1 species
ACAGCGCCGCACCUUGAAGUGUAACGCUUAGUGUUAUAUAUAGACCGGU